GAUGAACGCUAGCUACAGGCUUAACACAUGCAAGUCGAGGGGUAACGAGAGGAAAGCUUGCUUUCCUUGUCGACGACCGGCGCACGGGUGAGUAACGCGUAUCCAACCUGCCCCCAACUAGGGAAUAACCUUGCGAAAGUAAGACUAAUACCCUAUAAUUUCCUCAGAUGUCAUCUGACGAGGAAUAAAGAUUUAUCGGUUGCGGAUGGGGAUGCGUCUGAUUAGCUUGUUGGCGGGGUAACGGCCCACCAAGGCAACGAUCAGUAGGGGUUCUGAGAGGAAGGUCCACCACAUUGGAACUGAGACACGGUCCAAACUCCUACGGGAGGCAGCAGUGGGGAAUAUUGGUCAAUGGGCUGAAGCCUGAACCAGCCAAGUAGCGUGCAGGAUGACGGCCCUAUGGGUUGUAAACUGCUUUUAUACAGGAAUAAAGUUAGCCACGUUUGGUUAUUUUUAGGUACUGUAUGAAUAAGGACCGGCUAAUUCCGUGCCAGCCGCCGCGGUAA
rnacentral:rRNA from 1 species